rnacentral:lncRNA from 1 species
AUUCAGCCUCAGCAGAAGACAAAGAAACCACUGGUUGCUUCUUAGAUUUCCAACUAAUCAGGCAACCACCCAGAACAAUACAAAAACCAGUAACAGAUCUCCUUGUAUCAGGGCAGGCAGCCCAGUCAAUAUCAGAAUUACCAACAACAGAGAAAUCAUUGCUGUCAGAAUAAAAGAGACCCAAAGAGGAGGUACAUUUAAGGUAUCUUAACACAUGGAGGGCAGCAUUCAUAUGUGGAAAUCUGGGACAUUUCAGAAAUUGACUCAGAUGUUGUACAACAAAACAGAUGUCAGGCCUAGUAUGAGUCAGAAAUAAGAGCUUACCAACAAGACUCCUAUACUGAUCAGGACAAGAUAAAAGGUCAGCAGAAUCAGCAUGAAGUUUGGCAUUAAUGUCCAAAGGACAAACAACAGAAGAGACACUAGCACAGUCAAACUGAUGCAGCAGGUCAGAGAUAUAUUUCUGCUGAUUAAGGAUCAUCCCACCAGGAACAACUGACAUCUCUAUGCCUAAANNNNNNNNNNNNNNNNNNNNNNNNNNNNNNNNNNNNNNNNNNNNNNNNNNNNNNNNNGGAACAACUGACAUCUCUAUGCCUAAAAAAUAAUGCAAAGACCCUAGGUCCUUAAUUUUAAACUGAUCAUCCAGAAACAGUUUCAGGGCACAAAUUUCACUGACAUCCCCAGUAAGAAUGAUAUCAUCCACAUAGACUGCCACAAUCACAAGGGACCCUGGUGUACCUUUGAUGAAUAAGGAAGAAUCAUUCAAAGAGUGUCUAUAACCUCUGGAAUAGAGGGCAGAAGACAACUUGGCAUACCAUUGUCUGGAUGCUUGUCUCAGCCCAUACAUGGAUUUAUUCGAUUUGUAAACAAGGGGAGCAGAGGUAGAGGAGGCAGAAACAGAGGCAGGAGCAGAAACUGUCAAACCUGGAGGGAGCUUCAAAUAAACCUCCUCAUCCAAGUCACCAUGUAAGAAAGCAUUAUUAACAUCCAGUUGAAAUAGAUUCCAAUGAUUUUUGACAGUCACAGCAAUAAGACACUUAACAGUGCACAUUUUAACCACAGGAGAAAAAGUGUCAGUGAAAUCAAUACCUUCAACCUGAGUAUCACCUCUGAUAACAAGUCUAGCUUUAUACCUUUCAACACUUCCAUCAGCCUUGUAUUUAAUUUUAUAAACCCAUUUGCAGCCAAUGGGUUUCUUACCAAGAGGAAGAGGAACAACAUCUCAAGUAUGGUUUGUAGCCAAAGCAUCAAACUCCUUUCUCAUGGCAUCCUGCCAUGCUGGGCAGAUGCAGCUUGAGAGUAAUAUAAAGGUUCAGAUUCCAAAGAAGAGGAAGAGGAUCCAGAAAAGGCAGCGAGUUGGCAGACAUAAUCCUUAAGGUAAGAGGGAGAAUUAUGCUGUCUUUCAGACUUUCUGGGAGCAGGAAUAGAUGGGGAAUAAGCCAAGGGAGGAGGAGAGAUAUCAGGAUUGAAAGAAGGAAUGGGAGCUGGAUUGCAGGAAGUUGGCAGACAUAAUCCUUAAGGUAAGAGGGAGAAUUAUGAUGUCUUUCAGACUUUCUAGGAGCAGGAAUAGAUGGGGAAGAUACCAAGGGAGGAGGAGAGAUAUCAGGAUUGAAAGAAGGAAUGGGAGCUGGAUCAGUAGAAUCUGGAGCAGUAUAAGGAGGUUCUGGAACAGGUGUAGGAGGAAGAGGAGAGGAGAUAUGUAUGGAAGGGUCUGGAUCAUUGGAAAGUUCUAUAGGAGAAAUAAAAGGAAAAGAUGAAGGAGAAGGAUGAACAUAAGGUGAUGCAGUCUUAAAGGGAAAACAUGUUUCAUGGAAUAUAACAUCCCUGGAAACAAAACAUUUCUUAGAAGCAAGAUCAUACAGUUUAUAACCCUUUUUGGCAAAGGGAUACCCCAGGAAAACACAAGAAAUGUCUCUAGGCCUUAACUUGUCCCUUUGAGGAAUUGGGACAGUAGCAUAGGCAAGGCACCCAAAU